GGUGAAAGGGCUGCUGCGUGCGCGGAGUGGGGCGGCAGAGGUGCGCCGCGGUCAGUUUUCGCCUGGAUCCGGAGCCGGGAAGGGAGAGGAUGAGCUGCCGUGGCCCUCCAGAUACGUGAGGCCGGGCCUUUGUGAUCUAGCAAUGCGGCGAGUCACUCUCGAGGUGGAUACGGGGAUGGGAGACAGGCGGGGAACCCCUGUAAGGCUGUUCGUGCGUGUUUUGUACCAGUCUUGGGAAAGAACCUUGAGCGUGAACAGGAAGAAUAUUAAUUAUCAAUUAACCAUCCGCCUCUUCCCCCUCCCCCUUGCGUCGACGGCGAAAUAUCGGUUGCCUUGACAUGGCUUUCUUUCUUUUCUUUUUUUUUUAACCACCUCCCUCGCUCAUAAACACACCCUGCAUGAAUAGGCAAGGGAAGUUAUCUGAAAACUGGAUCAACAGUCAAUAAAAAAGCAUUCCCAUGAAACAAACAAACCUUGAUCUUGAACACAAUUGAGUGAAGAAAAACCUACCAGUACUUUAAGUAAUUAAAAUAUUGUUUGAAAUGCUAAGAAA